UGAUUGAUAACAUUUGAGUGAGUGGCGGACGGGUGAGUAACACGUGGGUAACCUGCCCUAAAUGGGGGAUAACAUUUGGAAACAGAUGCUAAUACCGAAUAAACUUAGUGUCGCAUGACACAAAGUUAAAAGGCGCUUCGGCGUCACCUAGAGAUGGAUCCGCGGUGCAUUAGUUAGUUGGUGGGGUAAAGGCCUACCAAGACAAUGAUGCAUAGCCGAGUUGAGAGACUGAUCGGCCACAUUGGGACUGAGACACGGCCCAUACUCC
rnacentral:rRNA from 1 species